rnacentral:rRNA from 1 species
AGAAUGAACGCUGGCGGCAUGCCUAACACAUGCAAGUCGAACGAACCCUUCGGGGUUAGUGGCGCACGGGUGCGUAACGCGUGGGAAUCUGCCCCUCGGUUCGGAAUAACAGUUAGAAAUGACUGCUAAUACCGGAUAACGACGUAAGUCCAAAGAUUUAUCGCCGAGGGAUGAGCCCGCGUAGGAUUAGCUAGUUGGUGUGGUAAAGGCGCACCAAGGCGACGAUCCUUAGCUGGUCUGAGAGGAUGAUCAGCCACACUGGGACUGAGACACGGCCCAGACUCCUACGGGAGGCAGCAGUGGGGAAUAUUGGACAAUGGGCGAAAGCCUGAUCCAGCAAUGCCGCGUGAGUGAUGAAGGCCUUAGGGUUGUAACCUCUUUCAGUAGGGAACAAGGCCGGCUUUUGGUUGGUUGAGGGUACCUGCAGAGAAGCGCCGGCUAACUACGUGCCAGCAGCCGC